GACGGUGGUUCAAGUCCACUUAGGCCCAUUGGAUGGGGCCUUAGCUCAGCUGGGAGAGCGCCUGCUUUGCAAGCAGGAGGUCAUCGGUUCGAUCCCGAUAGGCUCCACCAUAUCAAGGUAAGAGGUUUCAACGUAGUUGCUUUGCGUCUGCGUCUACAAGCGGAUUCGGAGAAGCUGAAUUCCUCGACGCAAACCAGCGAAGAAGCGAAUUCAAAGGAGCUGCUUUGCGUCUGUGCCUGCGUCUGCUAGCAGGUUCAGGGAAGCAAGAUUCCUCGGCACAAGACUGCAGAGAAGCAAAUUCAAGAAGCAGUCUCGUUCCUUGAAAACUAGAUAACCGGAAAAGCGGAGGCUCGUAAUUUCGCCUAAAGGCAGCCCGCGUCCUGCGGGCAACGGCGAAAUAUCGCCAUCGUGGCGAUCGCGAUGGGCAAAUGUUCUUCGCCUGGAGGGAUUUACAAUCCCGAAGGCGAAGGUUAUUUGACCCCGAGCGGCGGCGAGCCGAAGCUAGACAGUAAGGAA
rnacentral:misc_RNA from 1 species